rnacentral:lncRNA from 1 species
AUGGCUUGUAAAAUAUUUGGACUGAUCUUGGUGCCAAUCGUGGUUUUCAUGCUGCUGCAGAUGUGUGCAUUUGGAAGUUCUGCUCCUCUACAGAAGAGAUCCAGCAAUUGCCGGUGUUCUCUGUCUUGUGAUGGAGCUAAAGAAGUGCUGAAGAAACAUGAGAGCGUUGAAGUUCAUGUAGAACAACAAUCAGAUGACAUUUAUACUAACAAAGUUACAGUCUCCAGUUUAUUUGAUGAAAAACGACACUGUUCUGUGGUCCUGCCGGAAUGUUUACAAGGGGACAAACGGUUUCAAUUGAGAAUAUUUCCUACUGAUGCAGAAAAGCCACUCUAUGAAAAAAUUAUGUAUGCAAAGUAUGAUUGUGAUGCAGAGAAAUCCCCAAAGGAGAUCACCAGCAGUGCUGACAGGAUCUCCUCCAACACAUUCCUGAUCCUGCUGAUCAUUGUCUUUCUUUGGGGUGGGAUUUAGGCUCCUGCCAAAGAACUCGUGCCAUUUUCAGCAUCGAACACACCACUCUACACUGGUCUGAAACUAUUGUUUUGGAUCAGACCAAGAGAUGACUCACUACAAAAAAAUAUACUAAUGCACUUUUCUCAGACUUCUCAGGGGUUAGGGUUAUUGUUCUUCUCAUACAUUCUACUGGAAACUCAGUUCAUUGAGACGAACCAUGCCACUUAAUUUAAAAUGUGUUCUGGAUAAAGAUGAUGCCAAAUGAUUUGCUGCUGAUAAUCUUAAUGUAACUGUCCUGAAUUGUGUGUUGGUUAACCAAUGUUUUUAUUUAAAAGUCAGUUUUGGCAGCUCGAUCACGGCAGCUCUAGAUGCAAGUGCCAUUCUGUUUUGAGGUUUACAAACAAACUGAACUUUAAGGACCAAACAAUCGAAUCUACUGUGAAAACAUUUGAAUGUUUUUAUUCCAAAUUAUGUUUUUUCCUAUGUGCUCAUGUAUGUUACACUAAAUUAAUGGAGUACAAAAUGUGAGCACAGUGGCCUUGAGAUUUUAUAUUUUCUUGUCUUUCUUAAACUAUGCAUCAGAUCAUUGUACUUCUGAUCUGUGAUGAAAACCCUAUUGAUGUGUUAAAAUAAUAAGCUCAUAACAUUAUGCAGUUGUAAUUUUGCAAUGUAAAUGUCAAUUCCAUGUCCAAAGUUUGAAAGAAUUGCACUUUAUUUAAAAAAACAUAUUAGAAAUAAAUUUUAUAUCACAAAUAAGCUGGUUUCAGUAAGUAAGAACUGAUAGAGAAGUAAUUUAAAUGAAGAUUUUCUCACAUAUCCAAGAUUAAAAUCAUUGCAUUACUGUCAAAUUGAAUGGUUAAUUUAAAACAGGCAAUAAAAUGUCAAUCUAUAAUAACAGUUUUGUUUUAUGUGAAUUCAUUUUAAAAUGUAAUUUAUUGCUGUGAUACAAAGCAUAAUUUUCUGUGUCUUUACCACUGAUCUGUUAUAUAUAGAUCAGUGGUCUUUACUCUACAGUGUCACAUGAUUCUAAUAUGAUGAUUUGCUGCUCAAGAAACAGAUCUGAUUAUCAAUAUAAAGAGUUUACAGCUAAUUCCUUCUUUCUUUUUUUAAUACAUUUAUUCAUCACGGACAAACUAAAUUGAUCAAAAGUGACAUUUAAGACAUUCAUAAUGUUACAAAAAAUAUAUAUCAAAUGUUGAUUCAUUUAAAAUAUGUUAAAUUACAUUUUUUGCUGAAAAGUAAAAUGUAUCAUUAUUUACACUUAAAUAUAAAGCAGAAAAAAUGUGUUCCAUAUUGAUUUAAAUCAUUUCUCAAUGUUACUACUACUGCAGACUCGAUGAGCAGAAUAUACUUUCAAACACACUGAAUAAAUCUUAUAAGCAGUAUUUGGAGGAUGAUGUUUUAUUUGGAUCUUAUGCAUCAGAAACUACCCUACAACACCUGGAAAGUCCUUGAAAGGUUCUUGAAUUUGAAGUUAACCAAAGUGUGGGAACCCUGUACUAGAACCUAAUUUUGUCAUUAUUUAAUUGUUUUGUAUUGUCAUUAAUAAGUAUUUGACUAAAACACACAUACAACAAAUCCAGCAAAAUGUAUUUUUCUUAUGUAACUGCACAUAAAAGUUUGACGCAUAUGUGAUCAAAAGCACAGCUAACAGCACUCAUGUAAGGUUUCAGGAAAUGGAAGUGGUUUUAGUGGCUCUGCAUUGUGCUGAAAACCUUGUUUGAUCAACACCAUUACGAACAACAGGCACAAUGGAGAAAGUAAUUUUCUUCUGUAUUUUUUCUUGCUGGAUUACGCAAACAGUUUCCACUGGUAAGAAAGCUCAUUAAACUUCCACUUAACUCAACAUUUUAACCUAAAACUGUUAUAUUCAUUGAAAUGAUUUUAAGUUAAUUGGUUUAUAUAUUUUUUUUUCUUCAGAUGUUUCAGAACAUGAUGUAAGAGUCCAGCUUAACAAAAGCAUCAGCUUGAACUGCAACAUGACUGACAGAUAUGAAAUUGCAUGGUUUCACCAGUAUUCUCAACAACUAAAUCAACUGCUAUCUGCAAAGAUUAGCAGCGCAUCAGGAAGACUUCUAGUUAUGUACAAUCAAAACUGGAGUCAUCUGGACAUCGAGGAUCUUCGUGGAGAUGUGGGGAUCACCACAGUCAUGCUAGUUAUCUCUAGAGUAACAGAGUCAGAUUCAGGUCUUUAUUUCUGUGGUACAAAAUCAGAAACUUCUUCAAAGAUGCACUUUGACAAACCCAUCAGACUACAGAUUGAAGGUAAGUACUGCUCAAUUUCCGGUUUCUCUCAAAACUUCAUAAAGUUUCUAAUGCUGAUUUUAGAGUAAAUUAUUUUACUAUUUUAUUUUAGUCACCACUAUUAGUGCUGCUAUACUGUAGCACUAAUACGUUAAGUUCAGGGCAGUGUUUGAAUGUGUUUUUUGUUGAGGAAAGGACUGCUGCUAUAAUAAUACUGAAACUAAAAUAUGAUUUUGUUUUAAAGACCUUGUCUUUGUGUUGGAUUAUGUGAUCAUAUAUUUAAAAUAUUUUCAGGCAAGCUGACAGACAGAGAGGACAAAACUCAUGAUGUCACAGAUCCGACAGAGGAUGUUGAGAUCACAGGUGAGAGCGGAGAUCAUUCUUACUGGUGUCCUUUUUAUUCAUUCUCACAGCUUAAAUAAGUGCAGAUUCUGUUUGAACUUUCUGUGUUUCUUAAUUCUUUAAAAUGCUGUUGUCUCUGUAGAUGGAGUGACUAAAAAAGAGAGGGCAUUGAUGUUUGGUGGUGUCGGUCUGGCUGUGUUAGUGUUUUUUCUGGCAACAGUCAUCGCAGGUCGAAUCAUUCACUAUCACGGUUGGCAGAAAGGAUGGGCCGCAGCCAAACGCUCAUCUCUCUUGAAUCACAAAUCAGCUAAAUGAUUUAUGGUUUUUCUGAUAGUCUAACUCAGUAAAUUCCUAAAUAAUGCUUUGCAUUGCUAGGUUACCACAAAUUAAAACAGAAAAUUGUGGCUCAGAUGCUUUUCCUGUUGACCUCAUCUACUCUCACUUCAGGGAAGCUGAUGUUGUGGCAAAUGUUGUCUUUUUUCAGCACCAGUUGAAUUUAAAUAUUAAUAGUUGUGGUUAUUACUCUGGUCUGUGUGGUUAAUUUGUGCUUGUCAGUAAUAUUUAGUAAAAUAUAAAAGACUGCUACUCUCACUGUCCUUAAUGCAGUAUGUAUUCAAUUUAAAAUAUAAACAAGCCGUUUUACGCAUCUGUUGUUAUAUGUAGAGAAUAAGUUCAAAAAGAACAAUCAUAACCAAACAUAUGCUUGAAUAUUAUUAUUUCUGUGUCUAGCUGUAUUUUCACAUUAUAUAUAGACUAUUUAUCCAAAGGAGUAUUAAUAUGUACAUCUAAGAUGGGUUCCAGAGAAAAUGCCAUUUAAUAAAAAAUGUCUUUGUUGAGAAUUCUAAUCCAAUCCAAACAGCAGGAGAAUUACGAAAUUAUAUGUCUGUGCAUUUUCUGUCAGAAAAUAAAAUCAUCAACCAUAUAAUAUAUUAUUAAGAGAAUUACAUGAAAACAUUUAAUGAUUUAUUUCUUAAAGCACAAAAUUAAAAAUAACAAUAAAAUUAUUCUAAUUAUUGUUUUAUUCUUAAAAAAGCAUUAAUUGUAAAGCUUGCAUAUGUGUCAAAUUAGGAAAGAUAAAAAAUAUGGAUGUUCAAUUGUAUAUUUUGUACCAUUUUCUUUAUAAAUAUGUGUGUUUAAAUAUUUUUUCUAUUUAAUGUGGCAUGUGUAAGAGUGUCUUCUGAAGUGACUUCAUUAUCAUCAUCUGCUGGAGAGUUUUUCCAAACCACUGUUUUGUCUGGUAUUUGAAUUAUUAUUAUUGGUAAAUCUGAUUUGAAAGAGAAU